CAAGAGAAUUCGGGCUUGGAGAAACAAGGCAUUAUAAUUGCUGUUCUCCUUCCCGUGACGGAGGCCUUGGCUGUCAUUUUUUACCAAGAGAAAUUUCAGGCUGAAAAAGGUGUUGCUCUUGCACUUUCUCUUUGGGGAUUUGUUUCUUACUUCUACGGUGAGAUCACACAAACCAAGAAAAGGAAUCUUGCUCCUGAAACAGAAAUGUUUCCAUCUGAUCCAACAGAAAAUAUUUGAACACGACUCCUAGAUUGCCGAUAACACUACUAGAUUGCCAUUAUAUGAUAUAGAUUUGGUUGUCUAAUCUGCACGUAUCAAGCUUCCUCCGUUCUUUUGCCUGUUUUCCUGUUUUCUACUCUUUAACGAAAAUUUGG
rnacentral:misc_RNA from 1 species